ACUGCUACGCUGCACAAUGUUGCAACACUGCUACGCUGCACAAUGUUGCAACACUGCUACGCUGCACAAUGUUGCAACACUGCUACGCUGCACAAUGUUGCAACACUGCUACGCUGCACAAUGCUAUGCUGCCAUAUUAUUGAACCCUGCCAUGGCAUGCUGUAUGCUGCUGCUUCCCAGCAUUAUACUGUAGGAGUAUCACAGCUGACAAGUAGAAGACAAACAUGCCACGCCUAGCCUAGAUAUCUGAUGUAUUUACCUCCUCUUUUUUUUUUAGCAUUAUAAAUGUAUGUCUAGAAUAUUUCCUGCAUUUGAUAAAGCCUCUUGUAGGUGAAACGCCGCAAUAAUAUUUUUUUUUUAGCUAUACGUGGUCUUUAUCCACCAUAUUAUACUUUAAGAAACUUAGUGAUAUAUUAUACUGUAUCAGAACUCGCAGCAGUGGGUUUAAGUUGGAAAGAAUUAGAUUUAGAAAUGAUAUAGGGAAGCAUUGGUUUGGUAAUAGAGUUGUGGAUGAGUGGAACAAACUCCCGAGUAGCGUUAUUGAAGCUAAAACUUUGUGCAGUUUUAAAAAUAGGUUAGACUAAUACAUGAAUGAGUGUAGGUGGGUGUGAGUUAGACUUGCCUUGUAUGGACUACUAGGCCUACUGGCCUAUGCUUAUGUUCUCUUGUAUCAGGGUAGGUAAUGCUAUUUGCUGUUCUUUCCUUCAAAUUCCAUUUUUUUUUAUUUCCCUGUAAGUUUACUAUGUGGUUGACAUUGUAGACGUCUUUGUUAUACCGAGUUCGACAACUCUAUACUAUACAUUUUUUUUAUUAUACCGAGCUUCUUCAGCUCGGUGUGGUGUGCUUUUGCUUGCUAUACCGACCUUCUUGAGCUGUAUGCUGUGCUUUUGCUUGCUAUACCGACCUUCUUGAGCUGUAUGCUGUGCUUUUGCUUGCUAUACCGACCUUCUUGAGCUGUAUGCUGUGCUUUUCCUUGCUAUACCGACCUUCUUGAGCUGUAUGCUGUGCUUUUGCUUGCUAUACCGACCUUCUUGAGCUGUAUGCUGUGCUUUUGCUUGCUAUACCGACCUGCUUGAGCUGUAUGCUGUGCUUUUGCUUGCUAUACUGAGCUUUGCAAAUAUGUUAUGCUUUCUUUGGUACACCGAGCUAUGCUUGCUAUACCGAACUGUAUGUUGUGAUUGUGCUUGCUAUAUUGAACUGUGUAACUGUAUGUUGUGCUUUAGCUUGCUAUACCAGCCUUUACAACUAUCUGAUGUCCUUUCAUUUGCUAAAUUCAACUUUGCAGCGAUGAUGUGUCUUCCUCUGCUAUACCGAGCUCUGCAACUAUUUUGCUGUGCUUUUUACUAUAAUAAGCUCUACUAAAGCUAUGCUCCAUUUUACUUCAUUAUAACGAAUGGGAUGUUGUAAUGUAUUAUGCAUUUCUGUUAUAUGCAGUAUAAAUACAGAUCCAUUUUGGCCAAUGAGCUAAGUACCAGGGUCCCAGAUUCGGUACCGGCAUUCCGGCACCAUUUCCCUACUCUUCGAGCCCGGAUGAGACUGCCGAUACGGUCUACACUAAGAGAGGCCCUAUAAAGCAAAACAAGGAGAGAGAAGUCCAAAAUCUACUGAUAUAGAAGACGCCUUGAUAAUUAAUGACUUAGCGGUUCCAGUAGUAGUUGCCUUCCAAGUGCUGGCGAGUCUUUCCCAACCUCUCCAUGGCCAAGAUUAUACGGUCUGGUUCAUCCUGACAUUAUCAGCACCAGUCAAGUAUUUAGAAGAUCACGUAGCCAGUGUCAACAUUGUAAGAAUAAUUGGGACACUGCUAGGAUGAUGCCGAUAUAGAUAAGUUCAAAUGUGUACUGUCAAGAUAACAGGCGCUGGUAGAACCAUAUGGAGGACACUGUACAGUGCUCGUGAACACUCAAAACUGUGACCAUGUGGAAACUGUCAGUACCAAGUCGGUAUUGUCAGGGUAAUGUCGAUGCUGUGAAAACCAUAUGCACACUCGCACAACUAUAUGGACACUGAUAGGCCCAUGUGGAAAAUAACUAGAGAAGCUGACAUCUCUACAUGUCUUGCAAGUAGCAGCUGCCGAUCCUCCGGUCCUAGAAGAGUAUCUUAGCCGCGGGUGAAGAUUCUCUGUUCUCGCAAGGGGUAUAUUUACAACUGCUCGUCCUCAGAUUCUAUACAAGUAUCUUAGCAACGGCUGCAGAUAAUUCCUUUCUAUGAGAUACUACCUUUCACUAUCUAACAAAAAACUUCUAUUUGUGCAGUGUUCGUAGUGUGUAAAAUAUUCUAGAAGAAAGACACAUGUGCAGCAGUUGGGUAUCUUUAUUGUUGAAGUGUUUCGCGUACAUGGUAGGCUUCUUCAGUUAUAUAGAAUGGAUUGUAGGCAGCAGAAGUGACGAGGUAAAGAUGAUGUAAUCAGUCUUUCAGCCUUAGUGAAAUACCAUUCUGAUGUUCAUCUUAGUGAAAUAGUUUGAGGUAGCCAGUCCCUCAGCCUGCAGAAAAACUCAGCUCUAUGGUCUAGAACGGUAUGAAGCUGAAGCAUGAGAAUGGAGUCUUAAAUAUUGUCGAAGGUGAGGUGGAAGUUCACGAAGACGUUGCAGGAGGCAGGUCCCUCUGGAAUCCAACCCUUCUCACUCAUGAUGAAGUGAUGAAGCUGUGGAAGAUGUCCUCUGUACCAAGAUACUUUUCUGUUGCUGUUGUGUCUGACAGGUAUACUGAAAAUGGUAUAAAAUACCAUUUCCAAGGUUGGUGAACUGAUUAUCUAUACCUCGUCACUUCUGUCUACCAUGUAAGCGAAACGUUUCAACAAUGAAGAUACCAUCUGUUGCACAUGUCUUUUACUUAUCAAUUUACGGAUAUUUAUACCGUUUUUCAACAAACUACGAAAAGAAAGCCAACUACCUAUCCAUCUCACCACUUUCCGGAACGUAGCAUUGUGCAGCGUACGAGACUAUCACAAACACACUCCUCUGCUGCUGGACGUGACGUUCAUGACUUCCAGUGGAUGCUAUGAUCAUGAUAACUGAGACACUUGGGCAACAUUUAAGAAUCUUUAUUCUGGAAACGUUUCGCUACCCAGUGGCUUCUUCAGUCCAGUACAGAGAAGAGUGGAAGAUGAGAAGUUUGAGAUAAUGAGUCCCUCAGCCUUGAGUCGAUGUGUUCAGUCCAUUAAUCUUGAAUAGUAGUAUAAGUAAUGUAGUAGUGGUAGUAGUAGUAGUGGUGGUGGUGGUAGUAGUGGUAAUAGUAAUGUAGUAGUGGUAGUAGUAGUAGUGGUGGUGGUAAUAGCAGUAGUAGUGGUAAUAGUAAUGUAGCAGUAGUAAUGUAGUAGUGAUAAUGGUAAUAGUAUUGUAUAACUAGUAAUAAUGUAGCAUUAAUGUCAUACUAAUAGUAUAGUAUUAAUGUAGUAGUGGUAAUUGUAGUAUUAAUAGUAUAGCAGUAGUAUUAACAGUAGCAGUAAUAGGUAGUAACAUUAACAGUGGUAAUAGUAGUGGUGAUAAAUUUUGGUAAACUGUUCGUUACGGUACUGUCACUUUGCAUUCUUUAUCUCAGUGUUUCAAGUUAGGAAGUACAUCUUUCAUCAUACAGUAAUAAUGAGCACUGAACACUUUUUGCACACUUAUGAUCUCAGAAGCUCAAUUAUUUUUCUCCAGAAUCUUGCGCGUACAAGAGGCUUCUCAAACAGCAUUACCUAAUGCAAGCCAUGUAUAAGCCUCGUGUAAUCUGUAAGUUUUAUUUCUUGUAUUAUGUAUCGUGUAAUGUGUGGUAAUAAACUGUCAGCAUAAACUGAUAUUAUCAGUUUAAUCCCCCCACGAGGGACGUUCCUUGAUGAUGGUCAGGGGCUCUUGAUUUAAGGAAUUAAACCUGUCCUUCAGUGCCUUUAAUCGAGUCUGUGUCUUCCAUUCCCCCAGGCGCUGUAUAACUCCUAUAGAUUUAGCGCUCCCUCUAUGAAUAGAAUAAUAAAUUGCAUCUCGCGAAGCUGUCUUCAUUGUUUCAUUAUCUCAUUAUGUUCUCAUUAUAUUUUUAUUAUGUUCUCAUUAACCUAAGUCAGCCGAUAUGAAGUGACUCAAAGUUGUCAGAAUUAUAUUGAUCGGGAAGCGCUAAAUUUACAUGGGGUCAUAUAAAGCCUGGGAAAAAAUAGGUAAUUAAGUUUGAUUGAGGAAUGGGAGGGGUAGCUACAAUUCACUGGAUCAAGAUACCUUCACCAGCAUCAUACACUCCCCCCGCCCCCUUGAAGGGAGAGUAAUUAGAGAGGUAAGCAGCUCUGAAAACCAAAUUUGAUGCAUUAUUUAACAAGAGCUGACUCAUAACAUACCUUAAAUCCCUCCAAGAAAGAUGAAUAAGUGUCGCUGAAGAGCCCUUGAUUCAAAGAGCUGGAGCGAAUCUUCCCUUCCUUGGAUUAAACCUGUUUGCCUCUCAUUUCCUAAGCACCCUAUGAUCCAUACGGGUUUACCAGUUUCCCAUGAAAACAGCUAUAAUUAGCACCUUUAGCCAAUACCUUCUACCAACGAUACUACAAACAAAAACAACCUUAUUUCUUUCUACAGUAUACAAAAUGUAGUUUAGAUGUAAUAAAAUACUGUAAUACAAUAUUAUUAAGGACGCUUUCUUUGCUAGGUUUAAAGCUUAUCGACUACACGAGGUUCUUCAAGAUACACGCAGUUUACUUACGAGGUUCUUCUUCCUGCUUCCGAUGACUGCAAGUGUCGUAGUGUGUUAUCUGCUGUGUUGGUGUAGUUUAGUUUGUUUUGCACGUCGUGCCUCUUUAGACAAAAGAUCAACAGAGGCGCAUAAUGUGUGUUCUGGGAGUGGGUCUCAGUUUUAUGGCGGCUCAGCAAGUUACAGUGGUGAUAAACUAUUGACAAGUUUAUGAUCUGGCUGUAAUUUUAAUGAAUUAUUUAUGCAGACAUGCCGGCAUUGUUUUCGUUUUCCUUCCUUAUUUAUAUAGUAUUAGUUACAGUCAAGAAUCUUAAUAUUACAAGACUAUGUUUUGCAAUAUCAGCGGGUUAUUAAAUGUUAUUAUUUAACGUAAACAUAUGCUGGGUACAGCGAUGAACGUCGAUAUUAACGAGGAAGCAAGUGCAGAAUAAUUUUUUUAUUGUGACGACGUUUCGCUCGUGCAGAGCGUUAUCAAUCAUGAUUUACAAAGUUCUACAAAGAGCGAAACAUUGUCCCAAUAAAAGUCUUCUCUGCACCUGUCUUUUCAUCGCUGCACAAAUACUAUUUACUGAUGAUAACAUUUUUUUUUUCAAACAUUAACUCAACUGUUUCAAACAACGACAUAAUUAAUGAACUCAAUUUCAGUAAUCUACCAGACUCCUACUUAAUACCAAACUAGCCUAAUACAUUCUAUUAAGAAAACAAUAAUAACCAAAUAAACCUUUACAUCCGAAAAGGCUAGAAAACAAAUUUGAUGCUCAUGUUAAGUCCUCAAUACACCUGUGCACUAAUAUCAAGAAUACCUAUGUGCGGGUUAUUUGUGUGUCUUUCCAGUCACGGUAUUGUGCCUUUUUUUUAUCAAGAAUACUUGAAUCCCUAAGAUAGAUCAAACUUUCACCGUAUAUAUCCUGAGAUACUUUUGUUAUAUAGGCCUUUAGAGAUAGACCUUUCGUUGUGUAUGCCUUGUGAUAUAUACUUUAUUAUCAGUAAUAUGAUGCUUAUCUAACGCAGCAACAGUAUGAUGUCAUGGUAUAGCGGAUAUCUUCAACUCUAUUCCUAAACAAUUUAUUGGCAUGAACUACUUCCACUAGCGGGCUCCACCCACCUAUAACGCCAUCUCCAACUGCUGCAUUCUAUUUGGGCUCCAGCAGCGCUGUAUAGUCCUUGUGGCUUAGCGCUUCUUUUUGAUUAUAAUAAUAAAUAAUAAUAUUUGGGCUCCAGUAAAUGUCUCCAUCCUCAUGCCUCUGCUUUAGGCUGAGGGACUGAGCACCUAAUGUCAAGGCUAAGGGACUGGAACAUUGUCUAUUAAGGCUAAAGGACUGAACACUUUAAAAUUAAAUUUCCACUCCUUCCACUGUCAUCAGUGUAAAAGUUACCUCUGUAUUCGUCUGAAGAAGGCUGCUACGCAGGAGAAACG